rnacentral:lncRNA from 1 species
GUUAGAAGAGCUGUUGUUUCGUUUUCUAAAACAAACUACCAACUCUGCAGGCAUGCAAAGAAGUGUACUAUGGUCCCAAGUGAGUGUUUCUCCCAAGAGUCUGUAUUUUUCCCUAGCUCAACUCACUUCCUGGUCAGCAAUAGGAUUCAUAAGUAAAUGACUGAAGAGGAAACAAGUUCACAGGUGGUGGUCCCUGUUGCUUUGUUUCUUCUGGCUUAAAUUCCGAAGAGAGAAUACUGGUGAUUGGGUUACCUCACUCAGAAUGGUUUAGAAACUGGAAUCAGCCUAGAUGCCCCUCAAUCAAAGAACGGAUAGAGAAAAUGUGGUACAUUUACACAAUGGAGUACUACUCAGCGGGAAAAAAAAAACAAUGAAAUCAUGAAAUUUUCAGGAAAAUGGAUGGAGCAAGGUGCAAUAUUAUAGCACCCACUUCAGCCUACCUGACCAGCACACGCCUUUAAUGCCAGUAAUGCAAGAAAGAUAUGCAUUAAUAGAAAUCGCAUUGAAGUGUGUCCCAGUUUCACUCCCUGGGAGUCUGUAAAGGAAAGAGAAAUCUUCACAAGCCACAUCUUUGGGAUGUUUUAAGUCAUCUUCUAAACAAAGUACUUUAUCCUGGACCUGCUAAAUACAAAUGUACAAGACAACAUCGCGCUUCCAAAGGCUUUCUGUGGAUAAAUAAAUUCCUUCAUGACUACGAUUUCAUUUGCUCAACUCUGGUUAUAAAAUGACCCCAUAAAUUCACUAACGGUAUUGCACUAUACAUGGAGAUCAGGCAUUUUUCAGGGAAAUACUAAGGCAGCUGUUACAGAUUAUGCCUCCUGAAAAACAAGCGGCUGUGUCAUAGUCUGAAAUAACAUGGACGCUGUGCUGUGCACUUCUCAAGCUGGUUCUCGUAUUCAGUAUUUCUAGUAAAUGGAUGCAAAUCAGGUUCAUUGUGCUUCGAUGGGAAGGGGGGAGAUUUGUCCAGAAAUGACCUCAGUUCUAUUCAUUAAUAAAAUGACACUUUGGCCGAGAGCAGUGAAGAAUGAAAUAUAACAAGAGUGAACUUUCCUCCAUGGGACAGAUGUACAUAGAGCUUUUCCUUGGAGAAUGCACUGUAUGUAAAAUGGCCACUGCAACAUAAUAUCUGACAACAUGAAAGGGACCUCUAAGAUGCAGAUUGCUUGGAGGAAAAUCACAACGUCCAUGGCGGUGCAUACCCUGAGUCCCUAGAUACUGUACAGCU